AAAACAUUGAGCGAUUCAGUUGCGUGGAGAGAUUGGAGAGAUUUAGCAAUCACAUUCAUAUUGUGAGAGCACUAAAGCUAUUCCUUCAUCUUGAGUGGACUGUGGGAUGAGGGUGGCAGCCCAGCACAGGACUAAGGGAGGCAGUUCCUGUGGAGUUCUUCAUGGGGGAUACACAUGGUGUUGAUUGGUUGCAGGAAGACAUGUUCAUGAGUUCCACAGAGAUGCAUCCAAGACCAUGAUUGGGACUAUUUCUAUUCUUACUUGCAUUGUUGUGAGAUGACAUGUUUCCUAACAAUUUUGGCAAUGUUAGUGGAUUUUGGUUGCAGCAUAUGACAUUAAUUGAGUGGGUUUCCUUAAAUGAAAUGUCUAAUCAGCUAUUUCAUAUAUUACACCCAAGUGGAGUCGCUCUCUAUUAGCCUUGCUUUAUGAGAGCACUAUACAUGUAGCUAUUCCUCCAUUGUGAGUGAACCCUUGGCUGAGGGUGGCAGCCCAGCACAGGACUGAAGGGGGCAGUUCCUGUGGAGUUCUUCAUGGGAGAUACACAUGGUGCUGAUUGGAUAGAGACUUUGUUGGCUGAGAUAUGGCAGAUAACCAUGAUGUGUACACGUAAUGCUGUUAUUGGAACAACACUGUUGUAGGGUGUUUAUCUUUCAGCAAGGUUUUCAAUUUUGUCAGACGGACCUGUAUAGACUGUUUGGCAAAGAGAUUGCAAUAUUCAUGAUUUUUCUCAAUGGCGUUACACCAGAUCCUGACAUUAGCAGCUUGAGGAUCAACUAUUAGACUGGAUGAAAAUUUGCAUGAAGGGUAGCAAUUUUAACAGACAUCACAGCAUUAUGAGAGCACUGUAACUUGAGUGGACUUUGGGCUGAGGUUGGUAGCCCCCAGGUAAAGGACUAAUAUGGGACAGUUUCUGCGGAGUUCAUCAUGGGGGAUACACAUGAAGAUGACUGGAUGCAGCAGGAUAUAGACUGUCAGGCCUGGAGGUUGCAGUAUUCUUGAUUUUUCUCCUUGGAAAUACACCAGAUGCAGACAUCAGGCAGCCUGAGAAUCUAUUUGACUGCAAUAAUAUUUGCAUGAAGAGAAGAGACAGGCAUCUUUCUAUUGUGGAACAGUAUCAUUAUUCCUCCACCUUGAGUGGACUGAGGGCUGAGGGUGGCAGCCCAACACAGGACUGAAGGGGGCAGUUCCUGUGGAGAUCUUCAUGGGGGAUACACAUGAUGCUGAUU